rnacentral:lncRNA from 1 species
GGACAGGGCCAGGGAAGCGGUCAUGGAAGUGGUCAUGGACAGGGUAAGGGCCGGGGCUAGGGAAGCGGUCAUGGACAGGGUCAGGAAAAAGGCCAGGGAAGCGGUCGGGGACGGGGACAAGGCCGGGGUCAGGGAAGCGGCCAAGGACAGGGUCAGGGAAGCGGCAAGGGACAAGGCCGGGGUCAGGGACAAGGCCAGGGAAGCGGACAGGGACAAGGACAAGGACAGGGACAAGGCCUGGGAAGCGGACAAGGACAGGGAAGUGGUCAGGGACAGGGACAAGGACAGGGACAAGGCCAGGGAAGGGGUCAGGGACAAGGACAGGGACAAGGCCAGGGAAGCGGACAAGGACAGGGAAGUGGUCAGGGACAGGGACAAGGACAAGGACAAGGCCAGGGAAGCGGACAAGGACAGGGAAGUGGUCAGGGACACGGACAAGGCCAGGGAAGGGGCCAGGGCCAGGGCCAAGGUCAGGGACAGGGUCAGGGAAGCGGUCAGAGACAGGGUCAGGGAAGCAGCCAGGGACAGGGUCAGGGAAGCGGCCAGGGACAAGGACAAGGACAAGGCCAGGGAAGCGGACAAGGACAGGGAAGUGGUCAGGGACACGGACAAGGCCAGGGAAGGGGCCAGGGCCAGGGCCAAGGUCAGGGACAGGGUCAGGGAAGCGGUCAGAGACAGGGUCAGGGAAGCAGCCAGGGACAGGGUCAGGGAAGCGGCCAGGGCCAGGGCCAAGGUCAGGGACAGGGUCAGGGAAGCGGUCAGAGACAGGGUCAGGGAAGCGGCCAGGGACAAGGCCAAGGUCAGGGCCAGGGAAGCGGUCAGGGACAAGGCCAAGGCCAGGGACAGGGCCAGGGAAGCGGCCAGGGACAAGGCCAAGGUCAGGGCCAGGGAAGCGACCAGGGACAGGGCCAGGGAAGCGGUCAGGGACAAGGCCAAGGCCAAGGCCAGGGACAGGGCCAGGGAAGUGGCCAGGGCAGUGGUUAUGGCCAGGGCAGAGGUUAUGGCCAGGGAAGUGGCCAGGGAAGUGGUCAAGGGAACUGUCUGGCAUGUGGCAAAGGAAGCGGUCAGCAACGUGGUCGUUGAAUAGCUAAUGGGAAUUCUGCCUAACACUUACUGGAGAUCUUUUCAAUUCCAUGCUCUAUUCAUAUGGCAUGUUUUUUCAAACGGUUUAGAAAUUGUCUGUCCCCCACCUCAAAUAAAAAUAAUUUGCUUGAGUUUUUGGUAUCAUCUGGCUGUCUUCUCACAUAACUGCCUCCUGGCAUCAGUGCUUUAAGUUCCUCUCCUUGAGACCUGUUCAUUUAGAAAAGUAUUGUAUUUCAUCCUGAGCCCUAUGAGCCCCAACUUAAGACAUCAGAACAGUUUUCACGUCAAAAGUGCAACGCUUGCCAUAAAACCGCAAGUUAGAACCAUAAU